CGAACGAUGAAACUUAAAAGAUUUCUUCGGAAUGACCUUAAGUGGAUUAGUGGCGAACGGGUGAGUAACGCGUGAGUAACCUACCUUACACAAGGGGAUAGCCUCUGGAAACGGAGAAUAAUACCCUAUGAAACUAUCUUAUCGCAUGAAAAGAUAGUCAAAGUGUUUUAGCGGUGUAAGAUGGACUUGCGUCUGAUUAGCUAGUUGGUGAGAUAACAGCCCACCAAGGCAACGAUCAGUAGCCGGCUUGAGAGAGUGUACGGCCACAUUGGGACUGAGACACGGCCCAGACUCCUACGGGAGGCAGCAGUGGGGAAUUUUGCACAAUGGGGGCAACCCUGAUGCAGCGACGCCGCGUGAUUUAGAAGGCCUUCGGGUUGUAAAAAUCUUUUGUAUAGGAAGAAAAUGACAGUACUAUACGAAUAAGGUCCGGCUAAUUACGUGCCAGCAGCCGCGGUAAUACGUAAGGACCGAGCGUUGUCCGGAAUCAUUGGGCGUAAAGGGUACGUAGGCGGUUAGAAAAGUUAGAAGUGAAAGGCUAUAGCUCAACUAUAGUAAGCUUUUAAAACUGUUUAACUUGAGAGAUGGAAGGGAAAGUGGAAUUCCUAGUGUAGCGGUGAAAUGCGCAGAUAUUAGGAGGAAUACCGGUGGCGAAGGCGACUUUCUGGCCAUUAUCUGACGCUGAGGUACGAAAGCGUGGG
rnacentral:rRNA from 2 species